UACGGAGGAUGCGAGCGUUAUCCGGAUUUAUUGGGUUUAAAGGGUGCGCAGGCGGCCUGUUAAGUCAGCGGUAAAAGCCCGGGGCUCAACCCCGGCGAGCCGUUGAAACUGGGGAUCUUGAGUGGGCGAGAAGUAUGCGGAAUGCGUGGUGUAGCGGUGAAAUGCAUAGAUAUCACGCAGAACUCCGAUUGCGAAGGCAGCAUACCGGCGCCCGACUGACGCUGAGGCACGAAAGCGUGGGGAUCGAACAGG
rnacentral:rRNA from 1 species